GGCUGUGAGGGUGACCUGGCUGGACAACAUUUGAUUUGGCUCAUCUGGAUGUAUAUGUGGGUGUCCCCACCCUUCCUCAGUGCUCCAGGUACUGUCCUGAAGAGGAUAGCCUUUCCUGAGUGAAGACAAACCAUCUCUAGGCUGAGGGUAUAUAAGUAUCUGUCUCCCCUGCUAAAACACAAGUUUUCGAAUGAAGAUUCUAAAUCAGAUCAGCUGGAUUUACACCUGCCUCUACUCUUUACCACCUGUGUAGUUGAGAAAACAGU
rnacentral:sRNA from 1 species